UUAAGGAACUAGGCAAAUUAAUUUUCCGCCUGUUUAAUAAAAACAUGUCUUUUUGGUUAUUAUUUAAAGUCCGACCUGCCCAAUGAUUAAUUUAAUGGCCGCGGUAUUUUGACCGUGCAAAGGUAGCAUAAUCAUUAGUUUUUUAAUUGAAAGCUGGAAUGAAUGGUUCGACGAGAAAAUAUCUGUCUUAAAUUAAUAGGUUUGAAUUUUAUUUUUGAGUGAAAAAGCUCAAAUUUUCAUAAGGGACGAGAAGACCCUAUAGAAUUUUAUUGUUUUACUAGAAUAGGUAAGGUUUAGAAUUUUUAGUUCUGUAUUAGUAAUACAAUUUUGUUGGGGCGAUGAAAAAAUUUGAUUAACUUUUUUUUUACUUAGACACUAAUUUGUGAAUAAUUGAUCCAUUGUUAAUGAUUAUAAGAGUAAAUUACCUUAGGGAUAACAGCGUUAUUAAUUUGGAGAGUUCUUAUCGAUAAAUUAGUUUGCGACCUCGAUGUUGGAUUAAAAUAAACUUUUGGUGUAAGGGCUGAAAUGUUAAGUCUGUUCGACUUUUAAAAUUUUACAUGAUCUGAGUUUAAACCGGCGUGAGCCAGGUUGGUUUCUAUCUUU
rnacentral:rRNA from 1 species